GACAGAGGUGGCAAGCGUUGCUCGGAGUUACUGGGCUUAAAGGGCGCGUAGGCGGUCGUGCACGUCGGUGGUGAAAUCCCCGGGCUCAACCCGGGAACUGCCUUCGAUACGGCGCGACUCGAGUGUGGGAGGGGAGAGUGGAACUUCUGGUGGAGCGGUGAAAUGCGUAGAUAUCAGAAGGAACGCCGGUGGCGAAAGCGACUCUCUGGACCACAACUGACGCUGAGGCGCGAAAGCCAGGGGAGCAAACGGG
rnacentral:rRNA from 1 species